rnacentral:rRNA from 1 species
UGGGGAAUAUUGCACAAUGGGCGAAAGCCUGAUGCAGCAACGCCGCGUGCGGGAAGAAGGCCCUAGGGUUGUAAACCGCUUUCAGCAGGGAAGAAAAUGACGGUACCUGCAGAAGAAGGUGCGGCCAACUACGUGCCAGCAGCCGCGGUGACACGUAGGUACCAAGCGUUGUCCGGAUUUAUUGGGCGUAAAGAGCUCGUAGGCGGUUCAGUAAGUCGGGUGUGAAAACUCUGGGCUCAACCCAGAGACGCCACCCGAUACUGCUGUGACUUGAGUACGGUAGGGGAGUGGGGAAUUCCUGGUGUAGCGGUGAAAUGCGCAGAUAUCAGGAGGAACACCAGUGGCGAAGGCGCCACUCUGGGCCGUAACUGACGCUGAGGAGCGAAAGCGUGGGGAGCAAACAGGAUUAGAUACCCACGUAGUCCCUGAGCGGGCUGGCAAGGCGCAU